rnacentral:snRNA from 18 species
AUCGCAGCGGUUGUCACAGAACGCAUCAAUCUUUCGCCUUUUACUAAAGAUUGCCGUGUGACAUCCGCAUCAAAUGCGAAUCAAGAAUUUUUGACGGCGUCUCGACGCCA